GACGAACGCUGGCGGCGUGCUUAACACAUGCAAGUCGAACGGAAAGGCCCUGCUCUUGUGGCGUGCUCGAGUGGCGAACGGGUGAGUAACACGUGAGUAACCUGCCCCUGACUUUGGGAUAACACCUCGAAACUGGGGCUCAUAUCGGAUAUGAGAUCCUGCUGCACGGUGGGCGAUGGAAAGAUUCGGCGGUUGUGGAUGGACUGGCGGCUUAUCCGCUUGUUGGUGGGGUAGUGGCUUACCAAGGCUUUGACGGGUAGCCGGCCUGAGAGGUGGACCGGCCACAUGGGGACUGAGAUACGGCCCAGACUCCAACGUUAGGCAGCAGUGGGGAAUAUUGCACAAUGGGCGGAAGCCUGAUGCAGCGACGCCGCGUGCGGGAUGACGGCCUUCGGGUUGUAAACCGCUUUCGCCUGUGACGAAGCGUGAGUGACGGUAAUGGGUAAGAAAGCACCGGCUAACUACGUG
rnacentral:rRNA from 1 species